rnacentral:rRNA from 1 species
UACGUAGGGGGCUAGCGUUGUCCGGAUUUAUUGGGCGUAAAGGAGCGUGUAGGCGGCCAAGUAGGUCCGGUGUGAAAACUCGAGGCUUAACCUCGAGAUGUCAUCGGAAACCAUUUGGCUAGAGUCCGGAAGAGGAAAGUGGAAUUCCUGGUGUAGCGGUGAAAUGCGCAGAGUAUCAGGAGGAACACCGGUGGCGAAGGCGGCAUCCUGGACCGGGAUUGACACUGAGGCGCGAAAGCCAGGGGAGCAAAGCGGG